GUGUCAGCCGCCGCGGUAAUACGUAGGAGGCGAGCGUUAUCCGGAUUUACUGGGCGUAAAGAGGGCGUAGGCGGCUUUUCAAGUCGGAUGUAAAAUCUCCCGGCUUAACUGGGAGGGACCAUCCGAUACUGUUGGGCUAGAGGGCAGCAGGGGGAGGUGGAAUUCCCGGUGUAGUGGUGAAAUGCGUAGAUAUCGGGAGGAACACCAGUGGCGAAGGCGGCCUCCUAGGCUGUUUCUGACGCUGAGGCCCGAAAGUGUGGGUAGCGAACAGGAUUAGAUACCCUGGUAGUCCACACCGUAAACGAUGGACACUAGGUAUAGGGAGUAUCGACCCUCUCUGUGCCGAAGCUAACGCUUUAAGUGUCCCGCCUGGGGACUACGGCCGCAAGGCUAAAACUUAAAUGAAUUGGCGGGG
rnacentral:rRNA from 1 species